rnacentral:ribozyme from 1 species
UGCCCAGCAACUCCUAUCCCUACCUCCUCGCGGUACUGGCCGGGGUACGAGCACCUUAGGGAAGAUCGGGUAACCAAUCUCGGUGGGAACUUUGGUCGUAUGCUCACAGGGAAGA